rnacentral:tRNA from 1 species
UUGUCAGAAGCCAAAUUCGAGGCCUAUCACUGUUAAUGAUAUCAUUGAAAUUUAUUUCCUGACAA